UUUUUAUUUUCUAACUUCAUAAUCCUAACGUUUCGGUUCCGUAUAUAGCAACCGCGUUCACGGUCACACGUGAUAAUUAUCAUCUCGCCUGUAUUCUUAUAAAUUUUACUUCGAUCUGCUUGUAUAAGUGACAAGUCUUUGCUUUGAUUGUAUAAAUAGGGUCUUAGUUGGUUUGUCGUUUUUAAUAUGGCCCUCAUCCGUGCAAACACGUGCAUAGUAUAUUCUGCCAAUGUCGUAUAGAAUGGAGGAGACACGAUCCGAGAUUAACUUAGGAAUGUAAUAACAUUUAACAGCUUCGACUGAAGUCACAGGAACUAUGUUAGCAACUAAAACAACACAGAUUCAAUUAAAUGCAAACAUAGGAGGUAAUAUGCACACUAUAUAUAAUAUAUUUUUUGUUUGUCUUCGUUUCGUCGGACCCAUCUUAGGAUAAUAGGGAAUAUGCAUAAAAUUUUAAAUGGCCUAAAAUAUUUUUUUCUCGAAUAUUUAUAAUCGUCAUAUUAUUAUGAAAAAGUUUUCUUUUAUUUACUUGUUAUUUAAACCCCUAAAAUAAUAUUCAAAGGUUCAAAAUAAGGGAGCAAAAUUCAAACUUCCAAAACGCGCCGCCAUUGGUCGAACGAAAUGUGACGUCAUCUUAUACGACAUUGCAUUCAUCAGCGUCGAAACCCUUACUGUUACAGGACUUGUAAAAAAAAUAAGUAAUUUAAAAGUGUACUCUUGUGUGAAGUUUAGUUUAGAUUUGUAGUGAAUUUAGAACGAUGACUGAAGCUGGUUUUGUGAAAGCACAAUGCGACAAUCUACCUAAAAUAGAUGCAUAUAGGAUGACGGCAUAUUUUGCAUCUAAUCCCGAUUUUACAAGCAGUGAUCAGAGGAGUAAAAGCUGCAAGGUCUUAACGAGAAUCUUCAGAUUCAGCAGUUGGUUACGUCCAAGUAAAACGAGAUGGAGACGUAUGUGUUGUUAAGGCAUAAAAAUUUCGUAAAACUACAACAUGAAUAAUGUUUUUAUAGAAAGUUAUAGCUACUGAACAAUUCUUAUACGUUAGGUUAAUUUUAAACUGAAUUUUCUAAUGUUCAAAAGCUAAUCCAAAAUUUACUUUUUACUAAUUCACAAACUUACUGUAAUAAAUAAAGUUUACUAACGUUAAA